rnacentral:lncRNA from 1 species
GCGGGGCGUUGCGCGAAGCUGCAAAGAUACGUCUCCAUCGUAUCUACUUUUCCAAACUCUUUUGCCCUUGUUUUGGACUCUAAUUUGCAUGAUUUGAAUGGAACUAACCUGGACUGACGCUGUUUUCUGCAGAAUUGCCUUGAUGUUGUUUUUGUGCAGAAAUGAAAGUUCUCGGAACGUCCUGAAAAUUUACGGAGAAUAUUUAUGGAAAUUAUGAAAAAUACCUGCGCAAAGA